UGGAAGUGGAUGCUUACUAUGGUUUGGAGAACUCAUUGAUAUUAGAGAGUUGAGCCACAAUGAGCAAGACCUGUUCGUGAGAGUCGCUGCUUCAGAAUUAGACUCAGACGGGAAUCGGAGGAGAAAGAGGUCAGCCCUGAUUGCGAUCAUUUCAGCAGUGGUAGCAGCUUUUAUCCUCAGCUUUGUAGCUUGGUUUUCCUUCCAAAGAAAGAACAGAAGAACAGAAAAAUAUACUAGAGGUGCAGAAGUUGGAAACGAAGACCCCGAGUUGCCAUUGUUUGAUUUAGUUACUGUUGCUAGUGCCACUAAAAACUUCUCCUCUGCUAAUGUGAUUGGUGAGGGUGGCUUUGGACCAGUUUACAAGGGUAUCCUACCAAAUGGACAAGAGAUAGCAGUAAAGAGGCUAUCAAAGUAUUCUGGACAAGGCGUUCAAGAGUUAA